rnacentral:lncRNA from 1 species
CGGUGGCCCAGACGCGACAGCACAAAAACAGUUUUUGUAUUUUUUGAUUUUUUGAUUUUUUGAUUUUUGUAUUUUUUGAUUUUUUGAUUUUUUGAUUUUUGUAUUUUUUGAUUUUUUGAUUUUUUGAUUUUUUGAUUUUUUGAUUUUUUUGGAAAAUAUAACAUAAUCGAAGCUGUGUAACACAAAAUUAAGGUUAAGGGUUAGGGCCGCGAAUUUGGCAUUUAUCAUGUUGAUAAAUUUGGACGCGUUUAACAAUUUACUCAUAUAGUAAAUUGUGGAGCUCAUGCUGUAAUUACACUGUACAUAUAAUCUUGAUAAAAAACUUUUCACGACAUAUGGCGCCGGACAAAUGGUUCAUUUAGUGCCGGAAAAAAUUUUGCGGACAUAAAAUCGUUUAUUUUUUGCCGACAAUUUUCUUAAUUUUUUGAGAUUUUUAGAUGUAUCAUCUGGGUCCUGGGAUUUAUAUUCUGAGUUCAUCAAUCUUGCAUCAAUAAAUUUUAAGGAUCCCUUGUUCUGCGAGCCCCGCCCGAGAUAAAGUUCCCCUCUGCCUCUCUCUCGGCGAUCCUGCAUGCAGUAGAUGUAAAUUGAUAACGAAAGAUUCAAUAUAUAUACAAUUUUAAACUUAACUACAGGAGCAGCUGCGAAAAUGCUGUCAACUGACAGGAAUCGAACCUGUGGCUAAAUAUAGAGAUUUUUGGGAAUAUGACGCUGGAAAUCUCAAUUUGCGCUUGGUAUUUUUCUUGAAAUUUGUGCUUGAAAUUUCCAUCCUACAUAAAUCCUUCAAUCUGUUCAUAUCUUAUAUAAUGGCAUCACCUGUACUAAAUACUGUAUAUAAACAAGAACUUGUGUUUGGAGUUCGACAACUGAACUCUAUAACUCAGUUGGUUAGAGCACUGCAACGGAAUUGCAGGGCCAUAGGUUCGAUUCCUGCUAUAGUUCUAUUUUCAGCAGCUGGUUAUAGGUCUAAAUUAAAUAUAUAUUAAUCUUCCACUCGAAAUGCUCAUCUACAUAAGGCCUUCAAUCUCGGGAUCAAGUGGUCUUAGAAUCAGGGGCGUAGGAAGAGGGGGGGCAGAGGGAACACGUCCCCCCCCCUCCCAAAUUGUUUCAAAGGACCAAAAGUGUCCCUUUUUGUGAUGAAAAGUGCCCUUUUUGUACAAGCUAAUGUCGCUGUAAAUACUAAAUUAACGUCAAAGGUGCCCUUCUUGUUUAGAGAUUUCGAUGUUUUUUAAAAAAAAUUGGUCAAAAACGUGCCAUUGCGUUAUGGUAUGACGGGAAAACUUUUCUUAAGCUACUAGUUGUCCAAUCGACCUGUGUGAUGCGAUCGUGACUAAAACACCACACGAGUACAUACGAGUAACAUACGAGUAACACACAAGUACAUACGAGUACAUACGAGUAACACACAAGUACAUACGAGUAACAUACGAGUACAUACGAGUAACACACGAGUACAUACGAGUAACAUACGAGUAAAACACAGAGUACAUACGAGUAGAAUACGAGUACAUACGAGUAAAAUACGACUAGUAAACUUGUUUUUAGUGUUUGUAGAUUGAAUACAGGCAAAAAGAUCGUCUUUUCUGUCGAAAAACGUGGAAUGGGGGAACGGGGAAUGGAGGAACAGGGAAUGGAGGGAACGGAGAACGGGGAAUGGAGGAACGAGUAACGGGGGGGGGGGGAUCGAGCAAUUAUGAAUUAUUAUUAAUACGUAAUAUUAAUCAUAUGUACGGGGGGAAAAGAACAGAAAAAAAGAAACAGAAAUUCGACAGGAUAAACGGGAAUCAGGGAAUUACGAAACUAUAAAACGGACUCUGGUGUCUUGGGAAUUAGAAAACCGCUCAAUGAAUUAAAGCUAGUAAAGAAAUUUAUUGAAGCUUUCCUUUAUUAGUACAGCGUAUCAUAAAAAAGUCAAUCCACAUUGCUUAUGUCCGGUCAUUAAGUAAUAUUAAUAAUAAUAACAUUGCUUAUGUCAUUACUAAUAUACUUGCUAUAUAAUAAAACAAACUUAAGGACUAGAUGCAAGCCCAAGGCGGUCCUUAUGCUCCAUAUGAUAUCUUAAAGUGAUUAUCCUAUUUUAAAUAUCUUACAAAUCAAAACUAACAAAACACAAAAUACUUCAAAAUACGCAGAUUUUAAGUUAGCGAUUUAAGUUGGCAAGUACGUUUCUAAAGGACCCAGCCGAACUCUCCUGCAAGCUUUUGGACGUGCUCCACCUUGAGAAGGGAAGGAAAGUCUGGAGGAACGAGAACGUCGCCAAGAAAGCUUGGAUACUUUGCUCUGAUGCAGGCCUGAUCGGAAAUGAAAAUGCACGUUCUGAGGCUCACUUGAAAACUGGAUUUGUCCUGCACGGCCUCUUUAACAUACAAGCUGGGAAAGGAGGGGGGGGGGAGGCAUUUGCCCCCAGUCUCCCCUUGCGCAAAAACGAAAUCACAUUUUGCCCCCCUCCCCCAGAAAAGUCCCUUUUUCCUAAAUUUAUACAAACAAACCAGCGAAGAAUAACAAAUUGAUAAACGGAACAUACGUUUUAGGCUUUAUCCUUUGUCCUUGUUUAACAAAAUCGAUUUAAAGGACUGUGUCACCGCGUGGCAUCCUACGUGUUUCUAACACUAAGUAAUGAUAAAUUAUUGUUAAUAUUUUUUAAAUUCUUUGUGUGUUUUUUCCUUCUUUUAUUUCAAAUAGAAGUAUAGUUAGGAUAAAUUCUAGAAAAUUUAGAUGCUCAGACGGCAGGAAAUGGCUUGAAAUUUCAAAAAUUUUCUGGGGAGUUAAUGCCUCCAGACCCCCCCUAUUCAUUCGCGGUAUGUCGGCCACACACGUGACCCACGGCCAUUGCUAUCCCCCUUUAAUAAUAAGUAAUGGAUAAAUUAUUGUUAAAGGUGAUCUACAGUCCGUAUGUAAACAAAGCCUUUGUUUACAUUUUUGUGUCCAAAAUAUUGAGCUUUAUUCGACAACUAUUUAUAUAGAUGCAGUUAGUGAGUUAGGUUUUGUGCAUGCUCACAGGGUUUUGAAAGCAAACCAUGCCGUGAAAUAUGUGAAGCCUAUGGUUUGUGUCAUGUAUCUAACUAUCUAGGUAGAAUACCUAAAAGUAGAUGUUGUACAAACUACAAAGUUGUGGUUUAUAGAAUCUGGCAGAUCUCCCCCGCCCCCUGUCUCCUAUUUCCUCCCUCCCCCCUCGCCCCUCCAUUCCCUCCGUUCCCCGUUCCCCCACUUCCCGUUCUCCCAUUCCCCGUCCCCCCAUUCCCCGUUUUAAAGAUAGCCGGUUUCAGUCUAUUUCACGGUUUUUCGACAGAGAAGACGGUCUUUUUGCCUGUAUUCAAUCUACAAACACUAAAAACAAGUUUACUAGUCGUAUUUUACUCGUAUUCUACUCGUAUGUACUCG